rnacentral:lncRNA from 1 species
GCAUGCCGGGUCAGAGACAACAGCUGUCAAGAUCACUGCACACUUAGUUCCAGAACAAAAUGAGGUACAAGGGCAAUCGAGUUAUGACUGCAGGAAUACAAUCAUCUUGAUAGAAGCUGUACCCAACGGAAACAAACCAACCAAGAUCAGCCUAAAAUCAUAAGUUGAGCUAAUAAACAAUGCCACAGAAAUAAUGAUGAUAUUUUAAAUUUAGACAGUUUUGAGAAUCCUGAGCUUAACUUGAAUAGUUCAAGUGCAAAGCAAACAUCUCAUUCCAAAUGCAGCAAAAAACAAGGGUCGAAGUAAUUCUGUUGAGAUCGAGAAUCCUGACAUAACCUUGCCAUGUCAAGUACAAAGCAAAGUAGAAAACAUCUCCCUCCAAACGCAGCAAAAACACACAAUUUGAUCAUUUCCAUUGAACUAUCGAGAAAAAUCUCAAGUUUCAAUUUAUAUGCAGUGUCUGAGGCACAUUACAUGCACACGAAUUAAUUUUUAACCAACAGCAGCUCUGUAUCAAGAGCAGGGCUGAAAAAAUGCCAGCUUGA